rnacentral:rRNA from 1 species
CGAGGUUAAGUUGAAGAGACGGAGCCGUAGGGAAACCGAGUCUUAAUAGGGCGGCUUAGUAUCAUGUCGUAGACCCGAAACCAUGUGACCUACCCAUGAGCAGGGUGAAGGUGAGGUAAAGCUCACUGGAGGCCCGAACCAGGGCACGUUGAAAAGUGCUUGGAUGACUUGUGGGUAGCGGAGAAAUUCCAAACGAACUUGGAGAUAGCUGGUUCUCUCCGAAAUAGCUUUAGGGCUAGCG